rnacentral:rRNA from 1 species
GCAGCCACUCAUUCAAAGAGUGCGUAAUAGCUCACUGGUCGAGUGAUCCUGCGCCGAAGAUUUCCGGGGCUAAAACUUACUACCGAAGCUACGGCAUCAGUAAUGAUGGGUAGGGGAGCUUCCCAUACGGGUUGAAGCAUGACCGUAAGGACAUGUGGACAGUAUGGGAGUGAGAAUGUUGGCAUGAGUAGCGAGAUGUGGGUGAGAAUCCCACAGGCCGUAAACCCAAGGUUUCCAGGGGAAGGUUCGUCCGCCCUGGGUUAGUCGGGACCUAAGCUGAGGCCGAAAGGCGUAGGUGAUGGACAACAGGUGGAUAUUCCUGUACUACCGAUAACCGUUUGAGAGAAGGGAUGACACAGUAGGAUAAGCUAAGCACACUGUUGGUUAUGUGUGCCCAAGCAUUGAGGCAGUCAAAGUAGGCAAAUACGCUUUGAUAAUGCUGGGAUGUGAUGGGGAGCGAAAGUUAGUAGCGAAGUAGCUGAUUUCACACUGUCAAGAAAAGUCUCUAUCGUGGUUAAAGGUACCCGUACCGCAAACCGACACAGGUGGGUGAGGAGAGUAUCCUAAGUCCAGCGAGAGCACUGUUGUUAAGGAACGCGGCAAAAUGACCCCGUAAC